CCUACGGGUGGCACCAGUGGGGAAUAUUGCACAAUGGGCGCAAGCCUGAUGCAGCCAUGCCGCGUGUAUGAAGAAGGCCUUCGGGUUGUAAAGUACUUUCAGCGGGGAGGAAGGGAGUAAAGUUAAUACCUUUGCUCAUUGACGUUACCCGCAGAAGAAGCACCGGCUAACUCCGUGCCAGCAGCCGCGGUAAUACGGAGGGUGCAAGCGUUAAUCGGAAUUACUGGGCGUAAAGCGCACGCAGGCGGUUUGUUAAGUCAGAUGUGAAAUCCCCGGGCUCAACCUGGGAACUGCAUCUGAUACUGGCAAGCUUGAGUCUCGUAGAGGGGGGUAGAAUUCCAGGUGUAGCGGUGAAAUGCGUAGAGAUCUGGAGGAAUACCGGUGGCGAAGGCGGCCCCCUGGACGAAGACUGACGCUCAGGUGCGAAAGCGUGGGGAGCAAACAGGAUUAGAUACCCUUGUAGUC
rnacentral:rRNA from 1 species